rnacentral:rRNA from 1 species
GAUGAACGCUGGCGGCGUGCCUAAUACAUGCAAGUCGAGCGAACGGACGAGAAGCUUGCUUCUCUGAUGUUAGCGGCGGACGGGUGAGUAACACGUGGAUAACCUACCUAUAAGACUGGGAUAACUUCGGGAAACCGGAGCUAAUACCGGAUAAUAUUUUGAACCGCAUGGUUCAAAAGUGAAAGACGGUCUUGCUGUCACUUAUAGAUGGAUCCGCGCUGCAUUAGCUAGUUGGUAAGGUAACGGCUUACCAAGGCAACGAUGCAUAGCCGACCUGAGAGGGGGAUCGGCCGCACUGGAACUGAGAGACGGUCCAGACUCCUACGGGAGGCAGCAGUAGGGAAUCUUCCGCAAUGGGCGGAAGCCUGACGGAGCAACGCCGCGUGAGUGAUGAAGGUCUUCGGAUCGUAAAACUCCGUUAUUAGGGAAGAACAUAUGUGUAAGUAACUGUGCACAUCUUGACGGUACCUAAUCAGAAAGCCACGGCUAACUACGUG